rnacentral:rRNA from 1 species
UACGUAGGGGGCAAGCGUUGUCCGGAAUCAUUGGGCGUAAAGCGCGCGUAGGCGGCCCGGUAAGUCCGCUCUGAAAGUCCAAGGCUCAACCUGUGAAUGCCGCUGGAAACUGUCUGGCUAGAGUCCGGAAGGGGCGAGUGGAAUUCCUGGUGUAGCGGUGAAAUGCGCAGAUAUCAGGAGGAACACCAAUGGCGAAGGCGGGUCUCUGGGCCGAUACUGACGCUGAGGAGCGAAAGCGUGGGGAGCGAACAGG